UGGGGUGUAGCCAAGCGGUAAGGCAUCGGGUUUUGAUCCCGACAUUCCUAGGUUCGAAUCCUAGCACCCCAGCCA
rnacentral:tRNA from 1 species